CUUAUCCACCAGCAGCUGAAGCAACAGCAGAUGUGGCCAGUGGACUUGGCAGAAUCUGGUCACUUUCCGGUAGAGAGAAACAUGAGCUACAAUGCUUGGAUCUGGAUCUUCAUUUCCCCAAAGUUUGGUCACCGCUGAGCAACUUCCUCAAGGUCACACAGCUAGCUGGUAUUAAGAAUCCCUUGCUGAAUUUUAUGCUUUAUUUUGGUACUUCAGAGUGAACUUUCCCUCUUUGGCUUCUCGUAUUUCAUUGGAAAAAAUCUCUAGGCGCUCAGUACUUGUCUUGUGACAAUUCUGACUUCAGAACAACAUGACAUGCCUCGUUCUUCUGGACCAAAUGUCACAGAAAUCUCAUUUGUGCAGCGAUCUGCAGCUUUUGUCAUCGGAGAUUGAUACGGAAGUACACGGAACAAGAAUACAAACCUGAAUAACUGAUCGCUAGCACAUGGUGUGGCUGCUUAUCACAUUCAGUAGAUGCCUCCAGGAAGAACUGUCAGCUUCUAUUGGAAUAUUGGAAAGUGGGCAAAUUUUGGUGCAUGUCUGGAAUCUGAGAUGCCUAGUAAAAUGUGUUGGUGGCUGCUUUAUAUUUUAAGUAUCUUUGAGUACAUAGGAAGUGCCAGACAGGAUCAGAUGCAAGGACCAUCUUGUCCAGUGUUCUGUCUCUGAUAGUGGCCAGCCUCAGAUGCUGCAGAGGAAGGUGUAAGAACCCUCAUCAGGUAGAUAUGGGAUAAUCUGACCCCCACAUUGGGAUUCAUAAUGAUCGACUAGUUAGAGAUUGGCUUAAACCCUGAAGCAUGAGGUUUCAUAUCCCUUUCACAACUAUUAUCACACUGGAUAUUUUUGCUGUCCUUAUAAGUGUCCAAUCCCUUUAUGAAUCUUGCUGAGCUCCUGGCUUCAAUGACUUCCUGUGGCAGUGAGUUCCACAGUCUAAUUCCGUGUUUUGUGAAAAUGAUUUAAAAACAAUACUGCUUUGAGUUUGCCAACUUUUAAUUUCAUUGACUGACUCUUUGCUUUUGUAUCACGGGAGCGCAAACUGACUUGGCGAAAGAGCAGAGAAAAGGACACCCCUCCUUUUCUUCCGUCUUCCCUGCUACAUGUCUGCUGCAUGUCUUUUUAACUUUAAUAUCAAGAAAGUCUUUCAACUAUUUUUUUGGGGGGGGUGGGGGAGUCAGAGGACACCAUCGAUGACAUGGAGAUGUCCCUGCGAACUUUCUCAUCUCUUAGCUGAAGGGGUGGGCAGGCUGAAUAUUUAUUUUUUCUCCCAACUGCUUAAAUUAAAUAGGUAUUAACCAAAUUCAGAGUUUUUAAAGAGUCAGAAUAAAAAUUCCUUUUCCUUUCAGUUAAUUGGGGUUCAGGGGCAAGGUUUCUUUUAUGUCAAAACCCUGCUAGUUCAUCAACUGUCUGUGGAGUCUGCUGGGAAAACGAGACUAGGCAAGACCUGAAUUUCUAAUUGUAAAAA